AAGGAAAAAAGCCACCGAUAUAAAAUCUCCCCAAGAGAUAACACCGGUGCCCGUCAAACACUCAAAUUUCCCAGGCCACAGUCGCCAAGAACAGUUCUAAAGUUGGAAGGCGCAAAUUUCAGGGACUCGGUUGUGCACAGAUCCCCCGGCGGGUCCUUUGAUAUGACUCUGUCAGAGACCACAGAAAAGGGAGUCGGGAGAGACGGGCACCCCCGACUCCCCUCCGCCUUCCAAGACGACCUGAGCAUAAAGACUGCCGAUGCUCAACCUAUUUACAGAGAUCCUCCACGUUGCUCCAUCAUUUUAUCUCACAAGAUUUCGCACCGCUCGUUUGCGGGAAAAGGCUGCACAUUUUCCCCAGAAUUUGGGGUCUCCCCACGGUCCUUGUGCGGAUUCGGUUGUACCGGGAGACACGAAAUUAUUUUGUCGUUUGCCUUAAAAACGGGGCAGAUGCGGGCAUUUAUUUCUAUUUUAUUUCUCGUUUAACUCAGAGGCAGCAGUGGCUGCUGCAUCCCAUCCACCCUGAAACGAGAAUUGCAAAUGGACCCGUGGCUUAGUGGUGGAGGGGGGAAAAA